rnacentral:rRNA from 1 species
GUCCACGCCCUAAACGAUGUCGACUGGUUGUUGGGGUUUGACACUCUCAGUAACGAAGCUAACGCGUGAAGUCGACCGCCUGGGGAGUACGGCCGCAAGGUUAAACUCAAAGGAAUUGACGGGGACCCGCACAAGCGGUGGAUUAUGUGGAUUAAUUCGAUGCAACGCGAAAACCUUACCUACCCUUGACAUGUCCGAGAGGCUGGAGAGAUCCAGCUGUGCCCGAAAGGGAUCGGAACACAGGUGCUGCAUGGCUGUCGU